rnacentral:tRNA from 1 species
GGAUGUAGCCCAGCUGGAUAGAGCGCCAGACUCCGACUCUGGAGGCCGAGGGUUCGAAUCCCUUCAUCC